CCACCCCAAGGGAACAAUCAGGGAAGAAGGAACGCAAGACGGUGGAAGCAUGCCAACCUAUUAAACCGCAAGUCAGAGAUCAAACCAUAUCCUCAUUUGAAAAUGGAAAAAGAAAAGAAAUGGAGGCAUUGUGUGAUAUUUGCCUAAAUAUAACUAAAGAGAUCCAUUUAUUUUUAGUGUUUGAUUAAAAACCCUCAAAGGAAAAGAGAAAUUUUGAUCUUUGAGAAGAGCUGUUUCAUCACAGGGUGAAGUUGUUUCCUGAGCCCUUUGAUCUGAAAUGACCUUGCGACCUGGAACCAGCAGACAGCCUGAGGGAGGCAGUGCAUGUUCUGAGCCAGGGCCUCAGGAGGCCUGCAGCUGCCAUUCUGCUUCUGUUGGAACAUGACCUCCUUGAGAACACUCCCAGGCCUGACUGCAGGGUGGGGAGACCACACAGAGCAGAGCCGAGCCACCGGGAUGAGGCCCCUAGAUCACCCAGCUCCCAGCUGACCACAGAUCAUGAGUGAUCCCGUUUCUCCCUAGGUCAAGGGUGAUGUUUUGCUCAGAGAAAACUGAAGUUUGGAUUGUUCCAGUCCUGCAUCACAUCCUGUUUCAGGCUGCCCUAAAACAAAACCAGAAACAACCAUCACCACAAAACACCAUACCUUCAAUAGUCUUCUCAGUGUUCAGAAUAAAGGCUCUGGUUUUCCCUUGGGCUCAA
rnacentral:lncRNA from 1 species